rnacentral:rRNA from 1 species
CCUACGGGUGGCAGCAGUGGGGAAUAUUGCACAAUGGGGGAAACCCUGAUGCAGCAACGCCGCGUGAGUGAAGAAGUAUUUCGGUAUGUAAAGCUCUAUCAGCAGGGAAGAAGAAAGACGGUACCUGACUAAGAAGCCCCGGCUAACUACGUGCCAGCAGCCGCGGUAAUACGUAGGGGGAAAGCGUUAUCCGGAUGUACUGGGUGUAAAGGGAGCGUAGACGGCAGCACAAGUCUGGAGUGAAAUCCAGGGGCUUAACCCCGGAACUGCUUUGGAAACUGUGCGGCUGGAGUGCAGGAGGGGUAAGCGGAAUUCCUAGUGUAGCGGUGAAAUGCGUAGAUAUUAGGAGGAACACCGGUGGCGAAGGCGGCUUACUGGACCGUAACUGACAUUGAUGCUCGAAAGUGUGGGUAUCAAACAGGAUUAGAUACCCUUGUAGUC